GGGGUUUUACAGGUAAUCGCCGCUUGGUGCAAAUCAAGGGGAGGAAAGUCCGAGCUUCAUAGAGCAACACAAGGGCUAACGGCCCUCCGUCGCAAGGCGAGGAACAGUGGAACAGAAAGAAUAUCCGAGGCUAUGAUCCAACAAGCGGGAACGGGAGCUUGUCGGGGAGUUGGCGGAGUGAAAACAGCUAAACUCUGUGUGAAGCAAGAUCAAAUAGGGAAGCAUGGGCUAGCAAUAGUUCUAAGCGCGGCUCGCGUGAGACUUCCGGGUCAGAUCGCUUGAGCGUUUGAGUAAUCAAACGCCUAGAGGAAUGGUUAUCGAAUCGUGUGUGAGAAUGUGGCAAUCAGCACGAAGAACAGAACUCGGCUUAUCGUAAAACCCCGCCA
rnacentral:RNase_P_RNA from 1 species